CUGCUGGUGACACUGCUAUUAGCAAAUACUUCGGGUUUAUUCCUGAAAACCUGAUGCAGAAAAUCAGAUUUUCUUCUAAGCUUGUAAUGAUGCUUUGCAAAGGUUUCCUUAAGGCUUGAAAUAGUAUUCACUAUUUUCCAUUUAGCUUUAAAGCAUACUGUAUUCAGAAGUUGAUAUCCACAAUCUUUCUUUUAGGAAAACAAAUUAGCAUACCAAGAAUAUGAAUUUUUAAUUGGGCAGAAUCUCUUUUAAAAAAAUAAAGUGACCUAACACUUUGUCUGUUUUCCUACCUCUCCUUUUGGUGCAGAGGCAGUGGUGUGACCAUUAAAAGUGACUUUUAUCCCAAUAGAAAGUAUAUUGGCCCGGCGCAGUGUCUCAUGCCUGUAUUCCCAGCCCUUUGGGAGGCCAAGACUGGCGGAUCACGAGUUUGGGGAUUCUCAGCAGUUGCGGCUGGUCCGUAUUCUGCGCAGCACCGUGAUGGUUCGCGUUGGUGGAGGAUGGAUGGCCUUGGAUGAAUUUUUAGUGAAAAAUGAUCCCUGCCGAGCACGAGGUAGAACUAACAUUGAACUUAGAGAGAAAUUCAUCCUACCAGAGGGAGCAUCCCAGGGAAUGACCCCCUUCCGCUCA
rnacentral:sRNA from 1 species